GGAUGCGAUCAUAGCAGCACUAAAGCACCGGAUCCCAUCAGAACUCCAAAGUUAAGCGUGCUUGGGCGAGAGUAGUACUAAGAUGGGUGACCUCUUGGGAAGUCCUCGUGUUGCAUUCC
rnacentral:rRNA from 1 species